UGGCGGUAAGUGCGGCUGGCACUGAGCGCAGCGUUGCCGAAAUCAAGAAGAAGUGGUCUGAUCUAAAGGUGGAGGCAAAGAAAAAAGUGGCUUUGCACCGUCGGAGCGUGGCGGCGACAGGUGAGGAUCAGAAAACACAAGCACGUGUGACACUCGUGCAUGUGUUAAAAAAAAAAAAAACUGCUCCGUUAUCCACCGCUGCUCAUGUGGUGAAAGUUCGUAAACCAAAAAGAUUUAGUCAUAUUAAUCUUAAAACAAAUGCAUGUAGAUGGAAUUAGUUUUUUUUGCACAUUUGUAAAUUCAAAUUGGCAAACUAUCUACACCGCCACAGUGGGGUCUGCGCUUUCUGCGAGCAUCACUGCCUGGUACGGCAGCUGCAGCUCUCAGGACAGAAAGGCUGCAUCGAGUCAUCCGUUGUGCUGAACGCAUCACCCGGACUGCACUGCCCGGCCUCCAGGACAUCGACACCCAGCGGUGCAGGUCCAGGGCAAGACGAAUUAUCAAACACUCACCAUCCCAACCACAGACUGUUUGAGCGGCUGCCCUCGGGUAAGAGGCUUCGCUCCAUCAGAGCCAGGACUGAGAGGCUGAAAAGGAGCUUCUCCCCCCAGGCCACUCGGAUCCUGAACUCCUCAUAACACACACCCCAUAACUGAC